CUUGCCUGCGCGUCCCUUCGUCUCCUAACUUCCCACUGAGAAGCACAGGCUGCUCCCUGGAAACCGGUUAUGAUCUCAAAUUGGUGAUCACUGAGGACUAAGACAUCAUGAAGUUCCAAGACAAGAAGCUUUGCAAUAACAAAUGAAGCUUUAGGCUCCAUCUGGCCAGACCCUUCUUUCUGACACAUUUUGCUCCUCUUCUCAAUGAUAAGCAGCAAGGUGAUCAAAGCAAGUUUAAAAGCUUAAAUGCCUCAG